GGAGUUAGCCGGUGCUUCUUCUGUGAGUGAUGUCCUUCCUGCCGGCUAUUAACCCGCAGGCCUUCUUCCUCACUGAAAGUGCUUUACAACCCGAAGGCCUUCUUCACACACGCGGCAUGGCUGGAUCAGGGUUGCCCCCAUUGUCCAAUAUUCCCCACUGCUGCCUCCCGUAGGAGUCUGGGCCGUGUCUCAGUCCCAGUGUGGCUGAUCAUCCUCUCAGACCAGCUACGGAUCGUCGCCUUGGUGAGCCGUUACCUCACCAACCAGCUAAUCCGACAUAGGCUCAUCCGAUAGCGCGAGGCCCGAAGGUCCCCCGNUUUCCCCCGUAGGGCGUAUGCGGUAUUAGCCUGGGUUUCCCCAGGUUAUCCCCCACUACCGGGCAGAUUCCUAUGCAUUACUCACCCGUCCGCCGCUCGCCACCAGGGAGCAAGCUCCCCGUGCUGCCGCUCGACUUGCAUGUGUUAGGCCUGCCGCCAGCGUUCAAUCUGAACCAAGAUCAAACUCUGA
rnacentral:rRNA from 1 species